rnacentral:lncRNA from 1 species
UAUUUCAAAAUUAAUCGACCUCUUCCAUCUUGCUACCCUCUGCAUCAGCAUCAGCUUCCUCCAAUGGUGGCAUGUCAGCAUCAGCUUCUGCUGCAUCCUCAUCAAUGCUAAGUCCAAGCUUGAGCAUCCUGUGAAUCCUGUUGCCAAAGGUGUUGGGCUCAUCAAGGCUGAAUCCAGAGGUAAGAAGAGCAGUCUCAAACAGCAAGAGGACAAGAUCCUUCACAGAUUUGUCAUUCCUAUCAGCAUCAGCACGUUUCCUCAGCUCCUCCAUAAUGGGAUUCUCAGGGUUGAUUUCCAUUGUCUUCUUGCUUGACAUGUAACCAGCCAUGCUGCUAUCCCUCAAAGCCUGUGCCUUCAUGAUCCUCUCCAUGUUGGCAGUCCAACCAUACUCACCAGUCACUAGACAGCAAGGAGAGUCCACAACUCGGUCAGAAACAACCACUUUCUCAACCUUGUCGCCCAACACUUCCUUGAUCACCUUGCAGAGGUUGUCAAAUUUCUCCUUCUGUUCAUCCAUCUUUUUCUUUUCAUCCUCGCUCUCAUCAAGUUUCAAACCUUCCUUAGUUGCAGAUACCAGCUUCUUUCCCUCAAAUUCCUUGAGCUGGCCAACAGCAUAUUCAUCUAUAGCGUCAACCAUGUAAAUCACUUCAUAUCCCUUCUUCCUAAGUUUCUCAAGGAAGGGGGAAUUCUCAACAGCUUUCUUGCUUUCACCGGUGAUGUAGUAAAUGUCAUUCUGUCCUUCCUUCAUCCUGGUAACGUAGUCCUUGAGGCUGGUCAUGUCAUCACCACUCUUGGUGGAGUGGUACCUGAGCAAAUCAGCAAGCUUUGUCUUGUUUUGAGAAUCCUCAUGGAUACCCAGCUUCAAGUUCUUAGAGAAGGCCUCAUAGAACUUGUUGUAGUCUUCCUUGUUCUCAGCAAUUUCAAAGAAAAGCUCAAGGCACUUCUUCACCAAGUUCUUCCUUAUGACCUUGAGAAUCUUGUUCUGUUGAAGCAUCUCUCUUGAAAUGUUAAGUGGGAGAUCUUCAGAGUCCACAAUACCCUUCACAAAGCUAAGAUACUCAGGCAUCAACUCCUCACAGUUGUCCAUGAUGAAAACACGGCGGACAUACAGCUUGAUGUUGUUGGGCUUCUUCUUUGUGUCAAAGAGAUCAAAAGGUGCUCUCUUGGGUACAAAGAGAACAGCCUUAAACUCCAACUGACCCUCAACUGAGAAGUGCUUAACAGCCAAAUGCUCUUCCCAAUCAUUGGUGAGACUCUUGUAAAAAGCAGCAUACUCAUCCUUUGUAAUCUCCUCGGGCUUCCUCAUCCAAAUAGGUUUUUGCUUGUUCACCAAAGACCAUUCAUUAGACACCUCCUUAAUCUUUUUCUUUUUCUUCUCUUCCUUUUCUUUCUCCUCAUCUACUUCCUCAACCUUACCCUCCUCUUCCUUCUUCUCUUCCUCAUCCUCAUCAUCAGAAAUCUCUUUCUCAAUAGUCUUCUCAACCCAAAGAGAAAUUGGAUAGCUGAUAAAUUCAGAAUGUUUCUUAACCAAGUCCUUCAGACGGCGUUCCUCAAGAUACUCAAGUUGAUCCUCCUUGAGGAUGAGAGUUAUCUUAGUUCCCCUGCCAAGAGCUUCGCCAGUUGUGUCCCUAGUCACAGUGAAUGACCCUCCAGCUUGAGACUCCCACACAUACUGUUCAUCAUCGUUGUGCUUUGUGGUAACAAUAACCUUCUCGGCAACAAGGUAGGCAGAGUAGAAACCAACACCAAACUGUCCAAUCAUGCUCACAUCAGCACCAGCAGCUAUGGCUUCCAUGAAUUCCUUGGUACCAGACCUAGCAAUGGUACCUAGGUUGUUCACCAAAUCUGGAACAAAAAUACAUAGAAAUAUUAGUAAACAACAUAAAAUAUCACACGACACAGUGCUGCUACAUAAACCAAUUUCAGGCUAAGAAAAGGGAGAAAAAAAAAGCAUAUUAACUUACCAGCUUUGGUCAUUCCAAUCCCACUAUCAAUGAUAGUCAAAGUGUUGUUGGUCUUGUCAGGAAUAAUGUGAAUGAACAACUCUGGCUGAGAAUCAAGCUUGCUCUUGUCGGUCAAGCCCUCAAACCGAAUCUUAUCCAAAGCCUACAUUACAAAAUUCCAGCACAUAAUCAGAACAAUAUUCAUACCCACAACAGAAAAUCAUCUAUCACAUUAAUCAUUCAUAAAAUCGAAUCCUAACAAUCCAAAGUAAUAGUAACAAUUAUACUUCUAGAAACAAGGAUUUCUAGUCACAAACAACUUCAAUUUGAAAAUUAAAGGAUCAACAAACCUUCCAUUCAAAAAUUAAAGAGUUGAUUAUGAUUAACAUAGAUUACUUGUCACAUACAACUUUCAUUCAAAGACUAAAGUGCCGAUUAUAUCAAUAACAUUACAUAGUAUAUGAUUAAAUGAAAACAUUACACAGUAACAAAUAGAUCACAUAAUCAAGGUUGUUAUCAAUACAAACGGGACUAAUUAAAAAUUUAAUUUCAAUUUAGGUAUUUCAAGUAUCACUCUAAUAUGAAUCAACGAUAGAACAAUCAUCACAAUUUAACUUUAAAUUAAAAUCAAUGAAACCUAAACAUGACUAACAAAUCAUCACUGUUAAUCAUAAUCAACCAUCAUAAUCAUCACUGUUAAACAACAACGGAAAAAUCACAAAGAUCCUAAACAACGCCACCAACCAAAACCCUAGGAGUAUAUAAUCAAUUAACAUAAACCCUAAAAUUGAAAAAAUAAUCCAAUUAAAACGAUAACAAAAGAAAUCAUCAAAAUCAUAAUAAAAUAGAACCUAAACUAGAUCGAACCCUAAUAAAGAUAAAAAAUAAAAUAAAAAAGCAAAAAAAAAAAACGAAGAGGAAGAAGCUUACAUCGGAAGCGUUGCUGAUGAGUUCACGAAGAAAAAUCUCCUUGUUGCUGUAAAAAGUAUUGAUGAUGAGACUAAGAAGUUGAUUGAUCUCAGCCUGGAAAGCGAACGUCUCUUGUUCCGCCAUUGCCGAUCUGGUUUUUCUAGAGAGAGAAAGCGUUUGUCGUAGAGAGAGAGAGAGUGAACGAGUUUUGCAGAGUGUGAAGUGAGUGAGUUGUUAUAUAAUAAGUGUUUGCUAGGGUUUCUCGUUUUCUAGAUCCUUCUAUUUCUAUAUUUAUAAUUAUAAAUUAAAUAACUUUAUUUGUUCAAAUAAUAACUUUAACUUAAUUGCGAUUAUUUGGGUCCACUUUACUCUCAACUUACCACUUGGAUUUUUUUUUUGAAGGAACUAACCACUUGGAUGUGAAGCGUAGACUUGGUUUUCUUCUUUUUUAUUUCUUUUUCUGUUUUAUUUACACCAAUAAUAUUUGAAGGUUGAUCGAAGAUUCUACUUGGUUUUUUCAACAAAAAAAAAAACAUUCUAGUUGGUUUUAUUCUUUUAAAUAGAUAAAUUGUUUUGCAUUUAUUUUUUAUGAAAGCAUUUGGAAAGUUUUACAAAAAUUAUAUUUUUACUCCUUUCACAAAAAAAUUAUUUUUUUUUACUAUUUAUUUAGACUAAAAUACACUUUUUACCCUAAAGGUUUUUAAAACUAACGAUUUUGGUCCUCUUAUUUUGAACCUGUACCCUUUUUCAAAGCCAAUUUUGCAAAAUUGUGGUCCUCCCUAAUUUUGAAUUAAUCAGAGCAUGUUUGACACAUUUUUUCCUAAACCAAGUAUCAUCCAAGUCAUCUAUGUGAGUUUUGACACACAAAAAAAAGAGGUCUCAUGCGAUAUUUGUUGUAUAACGGGCAAAUCUACAUUGUUUAUCUUCUUCUCCAUAAAAUAGGGAUUGCUCCUUCAUCUUCCACAUCCAACUCUUUAUUGUUUCUUCUUCUUCUUCAUUCAUUCGUUCUUCCCUUUUUCAUCAAUCUCCAUUGUUUUUUUUUUUUUACUAUAAAAUAGGGAUUGGUCCUCUUAUUUCCUCUUGUUUUAUUUUUCAUAUAUAUCUCCAAAAACCGAAUCUUUUUUUUUUUUUUUGCAUAAAUAUGUCAAUAAACUCAUCCAAUUAAUUAUUUAAGUCUCUUUUGAUAUUACUGUGUGUGUAUAUAUAUAUAUUUACAGGGAUGGACAUACUCUUUAUAUUUAUACAUUCAAUUUCCAUCCAACUUUAUUUGGUGGUGUCUGGGGUUCGAACCCCAGACCUUGCAUAUACUAUGCAUUGUCCUUACCAACUGAGAUAAACUCACGGAGACUUCCAUCCAAUUGUUUGUUUCUUUAUUGUCUCUAAUUAUUCAACUUUUAUAGUUUAUACAUAUAAUAAAUUGGUUUAAUAGUAGUUUUGGCCCCCUAAGUAUUAGAAAGUUGCAAUUUUGAACCCCUAGCAAAAAUAAAAUAUAAAAUUGCCCCCUAAGUAUUGCCCCUUUUGCAGUUUUGGCCCCCCAAACCAAUGUUGACCAAGUCAGAGUUGACAUGGACAUCACGUGUGUAUUUUUUUUUAAUUAUUAAAAAAAUUAUUAUUUUUAAUUAAAAAAAUAAAAUAUUUUUUAAUUAAAAAAAAAAUACACAUGUGGCAUCCACGUGUGCAUUGACUUUUCAAAAUUGGUCUGGGGCCAAAACUGCAAAAGGGGCAAUACUUUAGGGAGCGGUUUUGUAUUUUAAUUUGUUAGGGGGCUAAAAUCGCAACUUCUUGAAACAUAGGCGCCAAAACUAAUGUUAAGCCAACAAAUCAAACUAAUUAUAAUUCGAAGUCGACUAUGCAUCCAUCAACUUCAUCUAUAUUAUUUACAAUUUGUCCUCGUGAGCUUAGCUCACUUGGUAAGAACAAUGCAUAUGCAAGGUUUGGGGUUCAAUCCUCGACCACCACAAUAAAAAAAAUCUACAAUUUUAAUUUUCUUUUUUGGUCAAGAAUUUUAAAUUUUUUUUAAUAAAACGAAUUAUCAACAUAUCCAUUUUUAUAGGGUUUUUUUUAGUCAUUCAAUUCAUAUGUUCUAUAUAUAACAAAUUAACUCACUAUCUCUAAAAAAACAAAUUAAUGAAUCAACCACUUUUGAAUCAUGCACUUUUAUACGGUGACCAAUCAUCUAUUUUUUAUGUUGAACAAUUAUAUGUACACACACUAACAUUGAGACAGACAAUGCUAGAUUAUUUUUUUUGCGCUAAUGCAUAUAAAUUAGGAAAAAUAGUUAUUAUAAAAUUUUAAUUAAAAUUAUUUUUAUUUUGAUUAAAAUAUAUGUUGACAUUUUGCGCUUUUUUAUUAUAACAAACUAUACUUAUAUUUUACAAUGACACCAACAAUAUAAGAAUUAUAAUAUAAAUUCUUAUUUUUUUUUAAUAAUACCAUAAAUAUAACAUUCUCAUAGAGGUAGAUUUAUUUAAGAGUAUAAUUAAAGGUGAAAAAACCACCGUAAAACAUUUAUUCCCUUUCCGUAGUAACUGUAUAAAUUAUUCUAUAACUCAAAUUUUAUUUAUCAUAUUUAUUUUCAUAAAAACAAUAAAAAAAAACCAACUAUACUAAUUUAAGAUUUAUAUAUAAUUAUUUAUAUUUUUCUCCAAUUUAUCUAUUUUAUUAGUUAACAUAUCUAUAUAUAUAUUAAUGUAAGACUCACUCAAAAAAAAAUUAAAGUAAGAUUAUUCAAUUUAAAGAAAUUCACUUUUAGCAUCUCUUAUUUUUUCAAAUUCACUUCAUUUCCCUUUUAUGCAUUCAAAUUCUCUUCAAUUUCGCUUUUAUAUAUUUAACAUAAAUAUAGCAACAAAUUAUAUCUGAUUUUGUUUUACAUAAAAAUCUCAAUAAACGAUGUAUAUUAAUUUGAUUUUAUCCAUUAAAUAUAUAAUUUAAUUUUUUAAUUCAUUUUUAAUAAGAAUCAAAAUUAAAUUUUACUUAAAUUUACUAAAACACACGAAAGAGAGCUUGAGAAGGAUUCAAGGAUUCAGGGACUCUCUCCUGUUAGCAAAAGGAACAAUGUCUUGGUUGCACGUUUCACUGCAUCAUAACAAUUACAGGAUGAUCUUCAAGGUCCAAUAACAGGUGUAGAUAUAGCUCAAGGUCCAAAUCAAGGAGGUAUAGACGUGGUAGUGGUUCUUCAACAACUUGAUGAUCAUAUUGAUCAUAUCCAAGGUCCAAUUCAAAAAGGUGUAGAGAUUGAUCAAGUAUCGGUGGCUCUUCAAGACUAUGCGCGUACAAGGACACUUGCUCAGAUAUUUGGUUAUAGCAAAAAUGUUGAGCAUGGAGAUUUCAUGAACUAUUCCAAGACGACAACAAUGAGUUGAUUUCGAUAUGUUUUGUUCACAAUUUUGCUGAAAAUGCAGAAUUGCUGAAGACUAUUCCAUAGAAUUUAGUUGAUUUCGAUACGUUUUGUUCACAAUUAAUCAGUAUUUUUUUUUUUUACAGGUACGUAGCCAUUAACUAAAUCAACAUUACCUAACUGUCACCCUUGUUUUCAGUAUUAUUUUUUGGCUUUCGUUGUCUUGUAUCAAAAUGUAUGGUGUUUCCUUAUUUUUAUGAAUGUCUAAAGCAAAUUACAACUUUUAAUAUAGUUCUUAAGUUACAUUUAGAAUUUCAACAAUUAAAACAAUGAAAUAUCGCCUUAACAGAACAUCUUGAUAUUGUUGUUCCUAUCUAGACGAACCUUGUUUUGCUACGCGCUUGUGCCUUUUUCCUUGAUUGAUGAUAUAAAAAUUCAACAUGUCUUGAAUUGCUAGGGGCGUUCAUUAUGCAUAAUUGUGUUAUAAAUUGCUAACACUUAUCAAAUUAUCGUGAUAUAAAAAUUCAAAAAGAAAGUAAUAGAUGUAAAAUAUUUACAAAUUACAAGUAGUAGCAUCUGAAGAGUACAACAGGGACACAACUAUUAUCUAGUGUACGUGCCUGCAUUGGCAGGCUGCCACAACAAAUGUGUCAGUAGGGUUAAACCAACAAACCUUCCUUGAAUUUGGAUUCCCAACUGGUAUGUCAAGCACAUCGGAGAAUUCCAGCAACUUCUCUUUAUUACGUUGGUCAAAAAAUAUCUUUACUUUAAUCAUUUGCUUUUCCUGCAGUAACGAUAUUUGGUUUUAGAAGCUUAAAAAGAGAAGUGGUUAAUUAUGCAUAAAAGCAAGCAACCAUUCAUUGUUAUAUAUGACUUACUUGCAAGUUACAAGCAUGCCUCAUUUUCAUGCUACAUAAAACCAGAAAACCUUUAAAUUUUACUUAGUCGCAGCUGCCUGCGAAAUACUUGGUAAAAGAUUAGCUAAAUAGAAGCAUAAUAACAUCUGUUUGACCAAUUAAUUUCAUUAUUCCAAGUAAGUGUAACGUGAAAUGAAAAAUAAGUGGUAUAAUGCAAGAGGAUUGUUCGUGAAUGUGAAGUAGGAUAUCCCUUUCCUCUCCUACCAAAGAGGAUUUUAUGGAGCAAUUUAAGAGUAUAAUCAAUCUUCUUUCCGGAUAAUUUAAGUACCACUGAAGCAUAAAAUACAAGAGUCAUAAAAAUUACUAGCUGCUACGAUGCAAAAACAUGUAUCUAAGGCAUAAAGUGCGUUAUAAACAUGAACAUGAAAAAUUAUAAGAGAAAAUUCAUAUCACACAAUUAAGGGUAACUAUGAAUCUGAGGUGAAUACCUUUUCAAUUUGAAAUUAUUAGGAUGCAUCUAUGUCAUAUGAUUUCUACCAACCUCGAAAUUGAUUUCCUUUCACGUAGAGGACAAUUGGUUGUAGGAGUUGUUGACUCUGUCUCCUUCAGUUCCUUUAUUUUCUUUUUCACCUCCUAAUGGUCAUUUCCCCUCCCGCACUUUUUUAAUCCUUUCUCAACUUCGAUAUCUUCAGAACCAUCGUCAUUUGACUUAUCGUCAACCUUAUCCUUACCAUCCAACCCCUAUUCUCGGCUUUUCUUUUCUCCUUUUCACAGUUCUUAUGUUUGACUUCAGGAAUAUCCUCUAUCCUCUAUCUCCUUUUGUUCCUUCGUUUUCCUUUUUCACCUUCCACCCUUCAACCUUUCCUUUCCUACAUUUUUCAAAUCCUUCCUCCACUUUGACAUCUUCAUUUGUCCAAUGUUGUAUGCAGAGCAGCUGUAGUUCCUUUGAAUUAUCAGUGAAAGAUUAGGGCUUACAAUGUACUUGUAUUUAAAUAUUGUGAUCCAUACUACAUUACCCCUGAAUCAUACUGCAGGGGCAGCCACAAUCCCCCACAAGAACCAUUUGGGUCAAGCCCAAGGGCAGGUCGAACAAGCAGAAAGGUCUCACCCGCUUCGCUCUUUCAACCUUGCCCACUUGCAAGAACCUAUGAGUCAUACUCAACAAAACAAGAUUAAGACCAUCCUCCAGCUAGAGUAGUGGAAUAACACAACUAUGAAAGAUACAAAACAAGAUUAUACAUACACUCCUAAAAAUAUAUUGUGACAAAUAAAAUUUGACGUUAUAGGAAAAUCAUACCUUAUUUUUUUUUGAGUUGUUAUUGAUAAAAGACACUAUAUACAUCUAUCUUUUACUUACUUUUUAUCUUAUACACCAUACAGAAAUUUGGAUAUACAUAAACAAGAAAAUAAAGAGACACUAUUUCGUGUCAGUUUUUGAUAUUCAAAUAUCAUUACUCUUUUAUUUUACAUCUAUGACAUUCUUUGACAUCCGCUUUGAUGCGUUGAGGAGGGACAUCACCACAACAUUUCCAAUCACAAAGCUUAAGUUUAAGUUUUUCUUUUUUGAUGAGAGAAGAUUAGGUAUCAUUUACUUGACCAUUUAUGUAAAAAUGGAUAUUGCAUUUGUUACUUUUCUUUCAUGACAAUAUAUGGUUUUGUAGUCAAGACUUCUUGAAGCGAUAUGAAUAUUACAUAUUUUUAGAAUAUUUUUACACAAACAACUUGUCACAUUUCAAUAAUCAAAUGGGAAACAAUGCAAUUAGAUAUAAAUCAAACACUUAAGAUUAACCAUAUUUAUAGGCCACUCCUGCUAACUCAGAGGACACAACAAAAUAGUUUGGGCAAAUUCCAAAAACAAUACCUCUCACAAUAAAAUCAAAACGUGCAACUCAAAAAAGCAUUAAAAUUAUCAAUCGCAGUCAAAGAGUGUUAAUCUGAGCUACUCUUCUCCGCAUAUACUCCAAAACCGUUUCCAAUGGCUGAAGAGAGUACGUAAUUUGGCUCUUCAAAAAUGGAGAAAUUACACUGAUCUCCCAUGAAGUCUCUUUGGAGGACACAAACAUGACUUAAAAAAAAUGUUAUUUUUCUGUUUCGGUUUCUAUUGAUGAUGAUAAUCUUCAUCCACUAAACUUAAAUUUCUGCCAUUUUUUGCAAGUUUCUCUUUAUUUCAAAUUUCAACUAUCAUAACUCGCUGCUUUCAUUGAAGAAUACCCAAAAAAAGCCAGACUAUUAACUUCUGUCUGAACAAUGUAAUUUUUUUUUUUCGCAUAGCAAUACAGCCUACAGGGUAUUUGUUAUUAUGUCUGAACAGUGUCUAACGCAAGAGUGUCUACUGUAUUUCAUAAGUUGUUGGAUUUAAUGGAUUAUGGCUAGAAAAAAAAACAAUAAUCCCUCCAUUUAUCACUUUUGAAGAAUAAUUUUGUUUCAAUUUACCUGUCACUUUUAUAUUUCAAUGCAAUAUUAAGAAGAAUAAAAUGAGAACGGAAUUUAUCCAACGAGAACCAAAGAAAAAGACUUGUGCUUUACGUCUUUUGUGUUGGAACUUGGAAUGUUGGGUGUUGAGUGUAGAGAAGGUAAAUCAGAUCAUUAGUUUUUCUUUUUAUAAAAAUAAUUUGAUAGAAAACGGUGUCAAACAUUAGAGAAAAUCACCGUAAAAUAACUUAGAGGGAUGUUCGUGUCGUUUAAAUAGACCUUCAAAAAAUAUGAGCGUAUUUUUCCCUUAAAAAAAAUUCCAAUCAUAAUGUCUUAAAACACAUCACCUUUCAUCUCUAUUUUUCAGAUCUAUUUUCACCGUUAUUUGUGAAAUAAAGUCCGCAUUAAAAACGAAUAAAAGAUAUAAAUCCAUAAAUCAAAAAUUGGCAUACCAACACUAUAAUGAUGUUUCUACCAACAAAAACACUAUAUCGUUUAUUUCUUUAAGACUAACUUUUUGGUUCGAUAAAUUGAUAAGAUAGAUAUUUAGUACUUCUCUAAAAUAAUCAAUAACCAAUGAGUUGUUUUUUUUUUCUUUCAGAGAUGAAUGAAAGGAAGAAACAAAUGACGGAAUGUAAUAAUAAAAUAAAGAAAAAUGAUAUUAGAACAAUCAUUUUCUACAACUUUUUUGACAACUUUCUCUCUCAUAUUUACAUUAUCUUUUUACUUUUUCUCUCUAUUCCUUUGAUCUUUGUGUCACUACCAUUUCCUUUAUAAAAUUUUGACUGUCAUAAAAGUUGACACAUAUAUCGAUGUUCAAAUAACACAACUUUAAACUAAACAAAAACGUACCUUUACAGCAAAAAAAACACCUUAAAAACAAUAACUAAUAAGGAAGUUAAAAUAUACUUGUAAAUUGGCCAGUUAUAUACGAACGCAUUCUUCAGCUUCGCUUCACCGGUCCAGAAAAUAAAGUAUGAGCACAGAAGCACGAAUUUGUAUCAAAAUAUAAAAGGACACACCAACGAUUGUCAACAAUUGACACACCAAAAGUUACGAUACGUAAACAAUAGCUACGCUGGUCCAGAAAAUUGCAUCUAAUAAAUUCCAAAAUUCAAAAUUAAAGAAAAAACAUGAUAAAAAUACUGUUUCUCAACCUCACGCCUUCCUAAACAAUAGCAUCUAUUUCAAAAUUAAUCGACCUCUUCCAUCUUGCUACCCUCUGCAUCAGCAUCAGCUUCCUCCAAUGGUGGCAUGUCAGCAUCAGCUUCUGCUGCAUCCUCAUCAAUGCUAAGUCCAAGCUUGAGCAUCCUGUGAAUCCUGUUGCCAAAGGUGUUGGGCUCAUCAAGGCUGAAUCCAGAGGUAAGAAGAGCAGUCUCAAACAGCAAGAGGACAAGAUCCUUCACAGAUUUGUCAUUCCUAUCAGCAUCAGCACGUUUCCUCAGCUCCUCCAUAAUGGGAUUCUCAGGGUUGAUUUCCAUUGUCUUCUUGCUUGACAUGUAACCAGCCAUGCUGCUAUCCCUCAAAGCCUGUGCCUUCAUGAUCCUCUCCAUGUUGGCAGUCCAACCAUACUCACCAGUCACUAGACAGCAAGGAGAGUCCACAACUCGGUCAGAAACAACCACUUUCUCAACCUUGUCGCCCAACACUUCCUUGAUCACCUUGCAGAGGUUGUCAAAUUUCU